AGUGAACGCUGGCGGUAGGCCUAACACAUGCAAGUCGAACGGCAGCACAGUAAGAGCUUGCUCUUACGGGUGGCGAGUGGCGGACGGGUGAGGAAUACAUCGGAAUCUACUUUUUCGUGGGGGAUAACGUAGGGAAACUUACGCUAAUACCGCAUACGACCUACGGGUGAAAGCAGGGGAUCUUCGGACCUUGCGCGAUUGAAUGAGCCGAUGUCGGAUUAGCUAGUUGGCGGGGUAAAGGCCCACCAAGGCGACGAUCCGUAGCUGGUCUGAGAGGAUGAUCAGCCACACUGGAACUGAGACACGGUCCAGACUCCUACGGGAGGCAGCAGUGGGGAAUAUUGGACAAUGGGCGCAAGCCUGAACCAGCCAUACUGCGUGGGUGAAGAAGGCCUUCGGGUUGUAAAGCCCUUUUGUUGGGAAAGAAAAGCAGCAGGUUAAUACCCCGCUGUUCUGACGGUACCCAAAGAAUAAGCACCGGCUAACUUCGUG
rnacentral:rRNA from 1 species